rnacentral:rRNA from 1 species
UACGUAGGGUCCGAGCGCUAAUCGGAAUUACUGGGCGUAAAGCGUGCGCAGGCGGUUUUGUAAGCCAGAUGUGAAAGCCCCGGGCUCAACCUGGGAACUGCAUUUGGGACUGCAAGGCUGGAGUACGGCAGAGGGAGGUGGAAUUCCACGUGUAGCAGUGAAAUGCGUAGAGAUGUGGAGGAACACCGAUGGCGAAGGCAGCCUCCUGGGCUAGUACUGACGCUCAUGCACGAAAGCGUGGGGAGCAAACAGG